CAACUACUCCCUCCGUCCGGAAAUACUUGUCAUCAAAAUGGAUAAAAGGGGAUGUAUCUAGACAUAUUUUAGUUCUAGAUACAUCUCUUUUUAUCCAUUUUGAUGACAAGUAUUUUCGGACGGAGGGAGUAGGUG
rnacentral:pre_miRNA from 1 species